UUUCUUUCCUUUGAGGUGUCGGGUUUGAAGUUGGUGAGUGUGAUUGUGGUUUAUAAACAGGGGAAAACAGAGGUUUCGGGCCAUGAUUCGUUUCAGGGUAGCUUUCUUUCUUUUGAGGUAUCGGGUUUGAAGUUGGUAAAUGUGAUUGUGGUGUAUAAACAGGGGAAAACAGAGGCUUUGGACCAUGAUUCGUUUCAGGGUAGCUCUCUUUCCUUUGAGUUAUCGGGUUUGAAGUUGGUGAAUGUGGUUGUUGUUGCGAGUAAACAGGUGAAAACAGAGGCUUUGGACCAGGAGUUGUUUCAGGGUAGCUCUCUUUCCUUGGAGGUAUCGGGUUUGAAGUUGAUGAAUGUGGUUGUUGUGAAUAAACAGGGGGAAACAGAGGUUUUGGGCUGUAUGCUGUUUCAGGGUAGCUUUCUUUCUUUUGAGGUGUCGGGUUUGAAGUUGGUGAAUGUUGUUGUUGUGUAUGAAAAGGGGAAAACACAGGCUUUGCGCCGUGCGCUGACUCAGGAUAGCUUUCUUUUCUCUGAGGUGUCGGGUUUGAAGUUGGAGAAUCUGGUCGUUGUGUGUGAACAGGGGAAAACAGAGGCUUCAUUCCUUUUGUUGGUUCAGAGUAACUCUCUUUCCUUUCGGCUAUCGGAUUUGAUGUAGAAUAAUAGGAUGGUUGGGUAGAAACAGGUGAAGCCGAAGGCUUUCCACCUUGAGUUCUCUCAGGGUAACUUUCUUUUAUAUGUGGAGUUGAGUAAGAUGCUGGAAAAUGUGAUUGUGGUGCAUAAGUCGGAGAAGCCCGAGGCUUGUUACCUUCCUGAAGGAUCCUCAUGGCAGUGCCAAUAUCAUUUGUGGCUUGGGUAAGUGGAGGACUAGUUGUUUUGUAACCUCCAUUGAAUUUUGGCUUGCCAUAAUCAUCUUUAUUGUUACUAUAUGGGCUUUUAACAUAAUCAUCAUGACUUCUCCUGCUAUCCCAAUCCCCAUGAGUUGAUCUUGGUGGUGAAUCCCAUGUGUUGUUGACUCCAUAGUCCUUGACAUGGCCAGACUUGGGAGAAUCCAUGGACUGGACAUAGCCGUCACUAUACUUAAACGGACUUGAUCCUCGAUUAUCUUGAAGGUGCAACCCUUCAAACUUAUUGCGAAGAGGGCUGCCACUAAAAUCGCGAUGCUCCCUAUACUUGGGAGAAUCCUGAUCUUCGCUUAUCCAACUAGGUUUUUUAGUGAUCAACUUUGGAGGACUCAAAAGAGUGGAAUGAGUUGGUCGGCUGACUUCACUAUGAAUUAUGUCGAAGAAGUCAUUGACCUUCCUAGGACUAUGAUCGUCCCACUCCUCGUGCCCAUUGUACUCAUCUAGAAGACCAUUCAUGGGAAUAUCAUAACUACGACGAACUUCAACAACUCUUUGAGCUCUCACCACAUAACCCUUGACUCCAUGUUCAGUUGAGUAGGAAACAAUUGGAUUCCUACUUCCUUGAACAUCAACGAUCACAGGGCGACAAACAUGAUCAGGGUAGUCACUCAUCGUAGUAAUUGGUUUCCCCCAAUCAUCUUCGUAUGGUUGCACCUCAUUGUAGGUGUUAAAACCUCCACCCCUGCCAUAACUAGCCAUAACUAUUAUUUGGACUAUACCUGCUUCUUUAUUUUUAUUUUUUUUCCUUGCUAAGUUUUAAGCAAGUUGAACUCUCUCCUUAUAUAGAAAGUAGAGUCAUGUUGCAUGUGUAUCCAUUUUUUUUUUUCCUUUAUUCUGUUUCUACUGUCUCUAUUUUUGGAUUCCCUUAGCUUUCUCCAUAAUGUGAAAGAACCAAAUUCUCCAUAUACUUAGCCUGGCUGUGAGGUUUUCAUUUCCCAUUGGUGUAUCUUCAUGAGAGGGCUAGUAGGACCAAGCAGGACAAGGGUAACAAAAGUUUUUUGUGAAAAUAAUUUAGGGUAUAAUAAAAGAUAGAUGUGAAUCUUUCAUUCUUCAAGUAAA
rnacentral:lncRNA from 1 species